rnacentral:misc_RNA from 1 species
AGCAGCCGCGGUAAUUCCAGCUCCAAUAGCGUAUAUUAAAGUUGUUGCAGUUAAAAGCUCGUAGUUGAAUUUCGGGGUCAAUAAGUUGGUCAUGCCAAUGGUAUGCACUGGCUUUAUUGAUUCCUACCUCUUGACGAACUGUGAUGCCAUUAAUUUGGUGUUGCAAGGAAUCAGGACUGUUACCUUGAAAAAUUGAGUGUUUAAAGCAAGCUUACGCUUGAAUACAUUAGCAUGGAAUAAUGAAAUAGGACGUUUGAUCCUAUUUUGUUGGUUUCUAGGAUCGACGUAAUGAUUAAUAGGGAUAGUUGGGGGCAUUAGUAUUCAAUUGUCAGAGGUGAAAUUCUUGGAUUUAUUGAAGACUAACUACUGCGAAAGCAUUUGCCAAGGAUGUUUUACAUUAAUACAAGAACGAAAGUUAGGGAUCGAAGACGAUCAGAUACCGUCGUAGUCUUAACCAUAAACUAUGCCGAUAGGGAUCGGAUGAUGUUAAUUUUUAUGUAUCUACG